AUUGAACGCUGGCGGAAUGCUUUACACAUGCAAGUCGAACGGCAGCAUGGGGGCAGCCCUGGUGGCGAGUGGCGAACGGGUGAGUAAUACAUCGGAACGUGCCCGGUCGUGGGGGAUAACGUAGCGAAAGUUACGCUAAUACCGCAUACGAUCUGAGGAUGAAAGCGGGGGACCUUCUGGCCUCGCGCGAUCGGAUCGGCCGAUGUCAGAUUAGGUAGUUGGUGGGGUAAAGGCCUACCAAGCCGACGAUCUGUAGCUGGUCUGAGAGGACGACCAGCCACACUGGGACUGAGACACGGCCCAGACUCCUACGGGAGGCAGCAGUGGGGAAUUUUGGACAAUGGGCGCAAGCCUGAUCCAGCCAUCCCGCGUGCAGGACGAAGGCCUUCGGGUUGUAAACUGCUUUUGUACGGAACGAAAAGGCUCUGGCUAAUACCUGGGGCUCAUGACGGUACCGUAAGAAUAAGCCCCGGCUAACUACGUG
rnacentral:rRNA from 1 species